CACUGACGAGUUUGAUCCUGGCUCAGAUUGAACGCUGGCGGCAGGCCUAACACAUGCAAGUCGAACGCGAAAGUCCUUCGGGAUGAGUAGAGUGGCGGACGGGUGAGUAACGCGUAGGAAUCUACCUAGUAGUGGGGGAUAACUUGGGGAAACUCAAGCUAAUACCGCAUACGCCCCAAGGGGGAAAGCGGAGGAUCUUCGGACUUCGUGCUAUUAGAUGAGCCUGCGUAAGAUUAGCUAGUUGGUAGGGUAAAGGCCUACCAAGGCGACGAUCUUUAGCUGUUCUGAGAGGAUGAUCAGCCACACUGGGACUGAGACACGGCCCAGACUCCUACGGGAGGCAGCAGUGGGGAAUAUUGGACAAUGGGGGCAACCCUGAUCCAGCCAUGCCGCGUGUGUGAAGAAGGCCUUCGGGUUGUAAAGCACUUUCAGUGGGGAGGAAAGGUUGCAGGUUAAUACCCUGUAGCUGUGACGUUACCCACAGAAGAAGCACCGGCUAACUUCGUG
rnacentral:rRNA from 1 species